UACGUAGGGUGCGAGCGUUGUCCGGAAUUAUUGGGCGUAAAGAGCUCGUAGGCGGUUUGUUGCGUCUAUCGUGAAAACCUGGGGCUUAACCCCGGGCCUGCGGUGGAUACGGGCAGACUUGAGUUCGGUAGGGGAGACUGGAAUUCCUGGUGUAGCGGUGAAAUGCGCAGAUAUCAGGAGGAACACCGGUGGCGAAGGCGGCAUCCUGGACCAUUACUGACGCUGAGGCGCGAAAGCUAGGGGAGCAAACGGG
rnacentral:rRNA from 1 species